rnacentral:lncRNA from 1 species
CAACCAAUUAACUCCCUUCCUUCCCUCUAGAAUUAUAUAUCAACCAUCAAAACAUCGCUCAAUCUCGUUACUCACUCAAUUGUUGGAGCAACUUCAGCUACAAGAAGUAGGAUUUUUAGCGACCAAUAUUAACAAUGUACAUGAAUCCAGUCCUUAUAAAUAUACUCAUGACGACCAAAAAAAUGAAUCCUUAAAAGCC